GACGAACGCUGGCGGCGUGCUUAACACAUGCAAGUCGAGCGGUAAGGCCUUUCGGGGUACACGAGCGGCGAACGGGUGAGUAACACGUGGGUGAUCUGCCCUGCACUUCGGGAUAAGCCUGGGAAACUGGGUCUAAUACCGGAUAUGACCUCCUAUCGCAUGGUGGGUGGUGGAAAGAUUUAUCGGUGCAGGAUGGGCCCGCGGCCUAUCAGCUUGUUGGUGGGGUAAUGGCCUACCAAGGCGACGACGGGUAGCCGACCUGAGAGGGUGACCGGCCACACUGGGACUGAGACACGGCCCAGACUCCUACGGGAGGCAGCAGUGGGGAAUAUUGCACAAUGGGCGAAAGCCUGAUGCAGCGACGCCGCGUGAGGGAUGACGGCCUUCGGGUUGUAAACCUCUUUCAGCAGGGUCGAAGCGCAAGUGACGGUACCUGCAGAAGAAGCACCGGCUAACUACGUG
rnacentral:rRNA from 1 species